AGAAGUUCGCAUUAAAAACGUGUGUUACCAAAUGCCUCCCGCUUCCACUUUCACUCUCUUUUGGGUAUUGUCAAACUUCAUCGCCUAUAACAUGCAGUAUCUACACUGGAACACCAUGCUGAAGAAAGGAAAUGCGAAGAAAUAAAGCAGUGGAAUCAGUUUUUGUUUAAUCCCGUUAUCUACGUUGUAGGGAGGUAGCGCUACCUGCACAUACCAGCAGGGCAAAGACGACAUGCUGAGCAAGGAGGAAAAGCCAGCCUAAAGUUCCAGUCUGCAACAGACAUACGGCAGAUUGAAUCAUCAGUGUUACUCUCAAAUUUUUAAGAGAUCCCCCCAAAAAUGAGAUUUCUAAUCAUUUUUCACCAAUAAAGAAAUACAAGUUGA